GACGAACGCUGGCGGCGUGCCUAACACAUGCAAGUCGAGCGAGUUGAUUCUCUUCGGAGAUGAAGCUAGCGGCGGACGGGUGAGUAACACGUGGGCAACCUGCCUCAUAGAGGGGAAUAGCCUCCCGAAAGGGAGAUUAAUACCGCAUAAGAUUGUAGCUUCGCAUGAAGUAGCAAUUAAAGGAGCAAUCCGCUAUGAGAUGGGCCCGCGGCGCAUUAGCUAGUUGGUGAGGUAACGGCUCACCAAGGCGACGAUGCGUAGCCGACCUGAGAGGGUGAUCGGCCACAUUGGGACUGAGACACGGCCCAGACUCCUACGGGAGGCAGCAGUGGGGAAUAUUGCACAAUGGGGGAAACCCUGAUGCAGCAACGCCGCGUGAGUGAUGACGGCCUUCGGGUUGUAAAGCUCUGUCUUCAGGGACGAUAAUGACGGUACCUGAGGAGGAAGCCACGGCUAACUACGUGCCAGCCGCCGCCGUAACAC
rnacentral:rRNA from 1 species